rnacentral:misc_RNA from 2 species
UAAUAAGUGUUUUAUGGCACUUUUUUAAAUCCAUAUCCACCUUGUGUGCAAUGUCAGGGUUGGUUUCUCUCUUUUGAGAGAUCAACCCCAAACAUCAACUCUAUCUUAACUCUUUGUCUGAAAAAUAUUAUGAAUAAAACAAUUCAAAAUA